UACGUAGGUGGCUAGCGUUGUCCGGAUUUACUGGGCGUAAAGAGCGCGCAGGCGGUCGUUCAAGUCGAGUGUGAAAGCCCCGGGCUCAACCUGGGAAUUGCGCUCGAUACUCUUGUGCUUGAGUUCGGGAGAGGAGCGUGGAAUUCCCAGUGUAGAGGUGAAAUUCGUAGAUAUUGGGAAGAACACCAGUGGCGAAGGCGGCUCACUGGCCCGGUACUGACGCUGAGGUGCGAAAGCGUGGGGAGCAAACAGG
rnacentral:rRNA from 1 species